rnacentral:rRNA from 1 species
CGCUGGCGGCAGGCUUAACACAUGCAAGUCGAACGAUAUAGUGGCAGACGGGUGAGUAACGCGUGGAAACGUGCCUUUCACUACGGAAUAGCUUUUGGAAACGAAAGGUAAUACCGUAUACGCCCUCCGGGGGAAAGAUUUAUCGGUGAAAGAUCGGUCCGCGUUAGAUUAGCUAGUUGGUGAGGUAAGAGCUCACCAAGGCGACGAUCUAUAGCUGGUCUGAGAGGAUGAUCAGCCACACUGGGACUGAGACACGGCCCAGACUCCUACGGGAGGCAGCAGUGGGGAAUUUUCCGCAAUGGGCGAAAGCCUGACGGAGC